rnacentral:rRNA from 1 species
UACGUAGGGGGCAAGCGUUGUCCGGAAUCAUUGGGCGUAAAGCGCGUGUAGGCGGUUCGGUAAGUCUGCUGUGAAAGUCCAGGGCUCAAUCCUGGGAUGCCGGUGGAUACUGUCGGACUAGAGUACGGAAGAGGCGAGUGGAAUUCCCGGUGUAGCGGUGAAAUGCGCAGAUAUCGGGAGGAACACCAAUUGCGAAGGCAGCUCGCUGGGACGUUACUGACGCUGAGACGCGAAAGCGUGGGGAGCAAACAGG